rnacentral:lncRNA from 1 species
AUCUCCCACUUGUUUUCUAUAAAGGUCAUUGAAUCUUUGAAUCCCAAGAGUUGGCGCCAAUACAUAAAUUAUUCAUCUGACCGAGGAGAAGACAUGAUCUGGGCAAGUUGAGAUUGAACUUGUUGAGAUUCUUCUUCCUCAACUAAAUCUGCCCAUUUAUUUAGAUUAGAAAUUAGAAUGGGUUCUGAGUUUUCUAUGAGAUAAGUUUGGGGAACUCCGAUCAUGGCGUAGUCUGAUGAUUUUUUUGUAUUUUGGUUGGCUUUGUCUAGUUGUGUCUUUUGAGGGUUGCUUGGAGGCAAUUGAAAUGGCUUGUUAUUCGGUUAGAACAUCUAUUUGGGACUAUUUGGGUACAACUUCAGUUAUAUCUUCAUUUCGCAGAAGAAGAGCAGGAAUUUGAGAAUCUGAAAGCUCUGUCUUCUUUUUCCUAGGCAUUUUAUCUUCCCUGCAAGAAUUAUCGGGUAAGAAAAUUUGGAAUAGAGUUUGAUCUCCCUUUGAUAUGAUUUAUAUCGAAUUUAAAAAUAGAUAAAAUAGCUUGCCAUCUAGCAAAUAUAUGUUUAGAAGUAAGAUUUUGCACAUCUUUUUGCAAAACAGAUCAGCUUUACAAUCAGUUCUUAACAAAAAAAAUUGAUUUAGUAAAUCGACUUGAAAUUUAGAAAUGCAUAAAACAGCUGCUACAAAAAUUAAUUAUAGGAUAAUUUUGUUGAGAAUUAUUCCGAUGCUUUGAUGCAAAUGCAUCAAUAUGCUCCUUGCCAUCUUUUUUCUCCUUUAAAAUACCACCAUAACUAAUGCAUGCAUCCGUUUUAACUAUUUGAAUGUAUAAGGAUCAGGGAGAGACAAGUAAGAAAGGUCUGUGACUUUCAAUUUUAUUUCUUUGAUAAUAUUGGUGUGGACAGAAGUCCACGGAGGUGAAGGUUUUUUCAACCUAUCAUGGAGAGGUUUUAGAAAAUUUCUAAGAUUUGGAAUGAAAUUUGACACAUAUUAGUACAUCCUAAAAAUUUUGAAGAAGGGUUUUAUCUAAGAUUUGGUCAGAAAAUUUAUUGGCGAAUUGUAUGGACCUUUGAAUAGGGAAAAGGUUUCCUUGUUGGAUAUUGUAUCCAAGAAAUCAGAUGUGAUUUGGAAAAGACUGUAUUUAAAUUUUGAUAAAACUAAUCCAUCUUUUUAAUAACAUUAAAGAAAAUCUUUAGAUAUUUAAAAUGUUGAUCUAUGCUAGUAGAAAAUAUUAAAACGUCAUUAAUAUAAACAAUAAUAAAUUUUGAAAAAGGACUUAAAAUGUCAUUCAUUAUCUUUUGAGAUUCAGAAGGAGCAUUUUUUAAACCAAAUGACAUUACAUUAUAUUCAUAUUGUCCAAAUGGUACAAUAAAAGCAGUUUUAUACCGAUUCUUGGGAUCUAUUUGAAUUUGCCAAAAUUUUAAUUUUAAAUCAAAUUUUGAAAAGAUAGUUGCAGCAUAAAGCCGCUGAAGUAAAUUUUUUUUGUUUGGAAAAGGAUACCUAAUUCAGCAGAGUUAUUUAUUCAAAGGUUUAUCAUUGAUGACUUAUUGAGGGACACCUCGUUCAAUUUCUAAGUUAUUAUUAACGUAAAAGGCAGCACAACUCAAAGGGGAUUCGCUUGGAUAUAUGAUGCGUCUAUCAAGAAGGCCAUUGAUUUUUUUAUGACAAUGAGUGGUCAGCUCGUAAUUCAUCUGGAUAGGACGAGCUUUUUUGGGGAUGAUUUUGUCACGACCCAAAUCUCAAUAUAGGUUGUGAUGGCACCCAACAUCGCCGUUAGGCUAGCUAACGAUGAACUACUAACUUAAUUAUUUAUUUUAUUAUUUUUUAAAUCAUGAGUCUUAUUAGAUAGAGAGAUCAAUGCAUUAAAAAAAUCGUUGAUACAUACAAUAUAAUUACAAUAUAAAGUAAUAGUGUGUCAAUGUAAAGCAAACCAUAAAUAAAUUCUAGAAUACCCCAAAAUCGAGUGUCACAAGUGCAUGAGCAUCUACUAAGAAGUACAAUAACAAUACAACAUAUGUCUUGAAUAUAAGAUACACAAGAUAAAGUAAAUAAUUAUGAUGGAAACGUUGUGCUCGCCAUAAAGUCCCCUCAGCAUAAGUCUACAUGGAAUGCAGCUCACCAUAAAGUCCCCUCAAGAUCUAUAUGGAAUGCAGAUCACCAUAAAGUUCCCUCAGCAACUGCGCCUACGUGCCCAAAUGACCACCAAAUGAACCUGUAAGAUCCUGCACAUUUAGUGCAGAAGUGCAGCAUGAGUAUUUUUGUACGCUUACCCAGUAAGUAUCUAGCCUAGCCCCGAAGAGGUAGUUACGAGGAGUCGAUAUUGACACUUACUAGUGGUACAGUAAAUCAAAUAUAAUAAAGUAGACAAGUAUGAAACAUGGUAAGUAAACAAUGAGUACAAAUAUAGGCAAAUAAUACGAUCUACAGUUGAACAAUAAAAACAAAAGUCCUUAAUUAUCGGAUACCUCCUCAAAUGGAAUAUGUAAUGGUCAAUACCAAAUCAAAGGUCACAUCUCAAGUCAGGAAACUUACGAGUACGCAGACUCCUUAUCAGGUAUUUUACACGAUUCUGCCGAGGCAAGCGGCCCGAUCCCAUAUGAGUGUUUCAUAGAACUGCCAAGGCAAACGGCCCGAUCCCAUAAGAGUGUGAUAAAUAAUAUUGCCGAGGAGAACAAACCGAACCCAUAAGAAUAUGAUAUGAAAUACUGCCGAGGAGAACGACCCGAUCCCGUAAGAGUGUGUUACAAUAUCCUGUCGAGGCGAACGGGCCGAUCCCAUAAGAGUGUGAAGCUUUUACAGGUCUAUGAACCCACUCACAAAUAUACGUGUGAGUUAUGGAAUUCAAGAGAAACUUUCUGAUGAUUACGCACAACGCGGGAAAAAUCCAAAAGAAAAAUACAAUUCUUACAGCUAAUCAAGUAGCUCGUCAAAUAUCUAAAAUUGUGAGUCUAGUCUCAGGUCAUAAUGUGAAUUAAAGUAAUUAAACAGGCAAGAAUAACUCAAUUAGUACAAUUAAAGCGUAACGUGAAUCUAAGUCUACUCGGACAUAAUCAGGACCUCUAGCAUACGCACGAACACUCAUCACCUCAUACGUAUGUAGCUCCCAUAAUAUGUAGCAUGUAAUUAGUCUAACAUCUAUGGGGUAAAUUCCCCUGCACAAGAUUAGACAGCAGAGUUACCUCACUCUGAAGUUCCAUAAUCAGCUCCAAUGCCUCUUUAACAUCCCAAAUCGAUACCCAUCGAUCCGAAACUAGUCAAACAACGUGCAAACUAAUAAACAAAAUACUCCAAUAAUCAUAAUUUAACAAUUCACAACUCCGCUCGAAAAGUCAACAAAGUCAACCCCCGGGCCCAUGCGCCCGGAUUCCAUAAUAUUUUGAAGAUAAAAAUUACCCAUAACACCGCAAACUCAAAUAUAUAAUUUAUUCCUAAUUCCAUAUCAAAUUUUGUGGUCAAAAUCCGAAAAUACCAUUUUUAAUUUUCUUCCACAAAUUCUAUAAUUUCUAUCAAAUUUCAUGUUAAAAUCCAUAUAUAACCCAUGUAUUUAACUCGACACAAGUAAGAAUAACUUACCUUAUGAUAUAUGUCGAAAAUGAUCUUCAAGAAUCACCCCAAAUCGCCCCACAUGAGCUCCAAGAACUUAUAAGUGAAGGAAUGAGCUCAAAAUGCCGAAAUUAGAUCUUUAAUUCCACUGCCAUGCCUCCUUUUAGCGAUCGCAGUCAUUAGCCAUGCGAUCACGGUUAACAAAAGGUCCAGCAUCAUUUCCUUCAUCAUGAUCGCGAACAAAAUCUCGUGAUCGCGAUGUACAAAUUGUGUUUUCUUCUUCAUAGACACCCUUUACUAUAAUGAUCAUAACUAUUUGUACCAAAUUCCAAAUUACAAAUGGUUUGAUUAUAUGAAAACUAGAUUCAAAGGGCUACAACUUUUAUUUUGGGAUCAUCCCCAAAUUCCUUAUCGAUUGCAAGACAUAAGCUCCCGAAGUCGGACUACUAACAACAAAAAAUCCUUCUAUGCGAUCACGGCCUUCCCUCCGCAAUCGCGAUUCAUAAAGGCCUGGAAUACACUUUGCUCUUCGCGAUCGCGACCCAGACCACCGCAAUCGCGACCCAGACCACCACGAUCGCGAAGAGCACCCCUGGCAUCAAAUAACAGCAGUUCAAAAUAGUCUAAAAGUGGUCCCAAACCACCCCAAAACACACCUGAGGUCCGAGAAACCCCGUCCAAUCAUUCUAACAAGUUUAUACAUCCUAUGUAAACUUGUUCAAAGGCUCGAAACAUAAAUUACAACAUCGACCCAAGAAUUAAAGAUCAAGCUCAAUCUUUCUUAAACUCUCUUAACUUUCAAACCUUCAUCCUUCAACGAACGCGUCCAAAACACACUUAAACAUUUCGGAAUGAUGCCAAAUUUUGUGUACAAGUCACAAAUCACAAUACAAACCUGUUCCAAGGCUCGAAAUCCCAAACGGACAUCAAUAACACCAAAGUCCACUUCAACUCAAACUUAGGAAAUCCGAAAACUUCCAAAAUGCUAGCUUUCCACAAUAAGCGCCGAAAUGCUCCCGGACUAUCCGAUUCUUAACCCGAACAUACGCCCAAGUCCAAAAUCAUUAUACGAACCUAUUAGAAUCUUCAAAUCCCAAUUUCUAGGUCGUUUACUCAAAAGUCAAAUCUUGGCCAACUCUUUCAACUUAAAGCUUCCAGAUUGAGAAUUUUCUUUCCUAAUCAACUCCAAACUUCCCGAAUAUCAAAACCGACCACGCGUACAAGUCAUAAUACAUUAAGUGAAGCUACUCAAGGCUUCAAACUGCCGAACGACGUGGUAAAGUUCAAAAUGACCGGUCGAGACGUUACAUUCUCCCCCACUUUAACAUAAGUUUGUCCUCGAACGUGCCAAGAACCGUUCCGGAGUUGCCCCAAAGCACUAUUUAACACAUCAUGCACCUACCCAUGCCACCACAACCCCUAUGGGCAUAUUAGCUCGAGCCAGACUGAAGAUCCUUCCUUCUACCUUAGCCCACCCGCCUUAGAACCAAAUUCCAAUACCCGGAAUUCUCUACGAGACCUAAAUCUAGUAUACGAAUACCGUAUCAAUCUCAACUCGUUGUACCAAAUAUGAUCAUGCACCCAUGCUGAAACCACACAAUGAACCGCAUAAUUCGUAUGCCCAUAAUAACAUCCUCCAACCGUAGAAGCUGCAAACCCACUAACAUGAUGCCUAUAGUACACCUCAUAGCACAUAUAAGCCCUACUCCAAUCCUCGCAAUACUGCGACGAUGAAAGAGACGUAUAGAAUCUCAUAACCACCCCUAAAAUUAAAAAAUCCAUGGAAUUUCUCCGCUCAACGAGAGCCCUUGCUUCCUUCUGAACUGAAUAGUGAUAUUUUUCCUCUAAUAUACCUUAUAUAAAUCUAAUCGCACUAACUCCAGGUCCAACCAUCUCGUCUCACUCAGUACAAGCUACUCGACUGACAAGCCACAUCAAAAACCACCCACAAUCUCCUACGACAACAUCAAUGCACCAAUAAACUACAAAUCAAAUAUGACUUAUAAGGAAGAAUGAAUUGUGGCAAAGAACUACCAUCUCGCGUAACAAAUAAAAUGGCCAAAAAGAUGCUAUGAGCCUAUAUCAUAGAUGAGAAACAAGGCACACAAAAUAGGUAGAAGAAAUCGUACUCAACAUCUCACUGUUUCGGCGUGCAACCCGAUCCAUACAUGAUACCCAUGGCAGCGUGCCACCCGAUCCACACAUAACCAUGGGUAGGGAAAUACCCAUCAAGCCAUAAUGCUAAAACUCACGAAAUGCCCGAAUAUCGACCACGAGCAUGCCAAGUGCAUAAAUAUAACCUUGGAGAGACAGAUAGAGCCAUGCGCGACAAAACUCGAGCUCGACUAAGGUGCAAUAAACGACAAGCUACACAGGAUCACAACACACGUGUGAAUAAUCAAGUCGUCUCAAUACACACGUGGCAUAAAGGAGUAGCAUUUUAAAUAGACGAUGCCAGGAAUACCAUCCACUACGCCUGAAGACCCAUCCAUAAGCAAUGCCAUGCCGAAUAAGCAUAUCUGAUCUGGUAAAAAUAUACAUCCACAUUAGGCCUACCAAUGGACCUCAAGCCAAUUCUAAUCAUCUCCAAAUGGGUCUAUAACCUCCCAAAGAUCCAUAAUGGCCAUAUCCAUGACAUAUACGAUCAACCGUAAAAAUAGGAAUAAACCUCCACAGUCCAUAACUAGAGAAAUAGAGCGCCUCUCAGACAUAAACUCUCCCAUCAGCGACAGUACUAGAAUCUCCAUACCUAAUUUCAAUCUCUACCACAUAAAUGGCUAACACGUCACCCUUAUGCAAUCAUCCCAUUGGAGUCACUCCACAACCUCAUACCACUAACCGUACAAAUUCUGUAAUGCAAAUCAAGAAUCCACAAAUCAAUACACCAUGCCUCUUACACAGAACAUCGUUCUCAGGCAACACUAAGAUAGCGCCAAUGUACUCUGAGUAUCUGAAAUCCCCCCCCCCCCUCCCCACCCUUCCGAGCUCAUGACAUUCUUAUCAAAAUUGAACUGCAACCCUGAUCCCCAACUUCCAAUCUCCAUAAUGCUCACUGCACAUAUCAUAUUGCUACUCGAGAGUACAAGAAUUUCAUCAUAAUCUCCUAAACCAUUAGUAGAGUUAACACUUCAUCGGCUCAAAACCUUUCACUUAACUCAUCUCAGAAGAAGAAUCGCCACCCAUAACCAACUUAUCAUAACCACAAAAAAUGCAAACCUCAAGUCAUGGUCUACACCGCCAUAACUCUUCCGGGAUCCAUUCACACAUAACUAAACCAUCAAAAUCAAAUACCUCCAAAUCUAUCGAACCACAGUAGCUGUCAAGCUUGCACACACAGCCACGAACCACUAGUAUAGCCUUACCACACAGAAGAAACUGAUCAUUUCCACAACCUUGCCGAUUCAAACCAUUACUAACUAACUCUAUUACUCCCAAUUUACUCUUGACUUGCCUUUGAACUAAUAGUUCUAUUCAAACACAUAACAGACCCCAAACUACACUCAUCCCGAGUGACCCAAAUCAUAAAACCACAUCAUCUCAACCCAUCAUCCAUCGCAUACCAUCCUCAUGCCCUCAAUACUAUCUCCCAUUGAUACACCCGUUUGGAAGCCCUUCUGCAAAUUCGAAGUUGUUUCUCCCAUUUCUCUAACACUGCACCGUAGACCCCGAUGAUAACAUAGAAAUUCCUCAAGUAUUCUUCACACUCUGCUGCAAAACCUAGUCCUCAGCCACAUAACGAAUCCAAAAUCCUUAAACACCGCACUUUAAUUAUUGAACCCACUAGAACCAUUGUUGAGAGUCACCCACUUUGACCUGGUCCCGAAUAUAUGACCAAACUCUAGUACUCUUCUAGCACAUGAACACUUCCAAAGAAGCAACCGGAUGAAUUCUUUUCCUUGCACAUCACAUCCACAAGAAGCAUAAAUUUUGAGUCAUCCCCAACAUCUGCACAUGAAUCGAUAAGGUGAAAUGUAGCACAUAUACGCCAAAUUCCUUGCCCAAAAUACCCUUGGUGUUUUUUCUUCUCUUGGUCAUAACUAAUCCACCAAUCACUGAUGACCAGAAACUGCAUAGGCACACAACCACGUGACUCAAUCGUAGACGGUGGGCUCCCCUACUUAGCUUCACGCUACAAUCACAUAGAUUCAUACCCCACAAUGACUUCUUCUUCCCAGUUAUCAUGAUCCUGCACCGUUACUCGGCCAACUUCUCACGAGCUCUUGUUGCACCAAUCAUAACGCACCCCAAACCACCAUCGCACGUUCAACCUCCUAUGGUUCAUACCGUAUUCUUCAAGCGAACCAAGCUUGCAUCGCAAUACAUGCUUCCCAUGUUGAGAAAAAAGUAGAACUCUUCGUAGGAACCUCCUCAAAAUCACGCAACCACUAACCUGCUCGCAUGAGAUAGCCCACCUGUGUAACCUCAUAUCGACCUCCUCCAACAUCAUUGCUAUAGUUACAUCCAUCAUGAAAUCAAUUAAUCUCCCUGAGUCCAUACUGAUCCGCUAGUUGUAAGAAUCCCUUCAUUCAUUAACAUCACCCAAAGGCGACGAUAAUGGUCUGCCUGCAUUCGCAGGGAAAAGCAUCAUGCACCACAUCUGUAGCAUCUUCUUAACUCGUUGGUGCCCAACUGAUAAAAAUGCCUGAUAUCGCGUACGAAUAAGUAGGAAGGAACCGAAGGCAUAAGCUUCAACGAAAUCAAAUAGCACGAUGAGGAAUCAAGGAAAGGAAGCUCUCCCAACAACCAUGUAGCCUCUCUCUAUACCAAUCCGCAAAACUCUACUAGACAUGCUCAUGACUCAUUAGACCUAAGGGAACCUAGUGCUCUGGUACCAAGCUAUCACGACCCAAAUCUCAAUAUAGGUUGUGAUGGCGCCCAGCGUUGCUGUUAGGCAAGCCAACGGUGAACUACCAACUUAAUUAUUCAUUUUAUUAUUUUUGAAAUCAUGAAUCAUAUUAGAUAGAGAGAGAUCAAUGCAUUAAAAAAAUUGUAGAUACGUACAAUUUAAUUACAAUAUAAAGUAAUAGGGUGUCAAUGUAAAGCAAACCAUAAACAAAUUCUAAAACACCCCAAAACCCGAUGUCACAAGUGCAUGAGCAUCUACUAGGAAGUACAAUAAUAAUAAUAUAACAUCUACCUAGAAUACAAGAUAGAUAGGAUAAAGAAAAUAAUUAUGAUGGAAAUGUUGUGUGCUAUGAAUCAUAGCAUGGAAUGCAGCUCACCAUCAUGUCCCCUCAAAAUCUCACCUACGCGCCCAAAUGGCAACAAAAUAAACCUGUCAGAUCUUGCACCUUUAGUGCAGAAGUACAGCAUGAGCACGUAAAUCAACGCGUACCCAAAAAGAAUCUAGCCUAACCCCGAAGAGGUAGUGACGAGGGGCCGACAUUCGCACUUACUAGUGGUCCAGGAAAUCAAAUAUAAAAAGUAGACAAGUAUGAAACAUGGUAAGUAAACAGUAAGUACAGAUAUAAGCAAAUAAUAGAGUCUUCAGCUGAACAAUGAACACAAAAGUCAUCAAUUAACGGAUACCUCCUCAAAUGGAAUACGUAAUGGUCAAUACCAAAUCAAUGGUCACAUCUCAAGUCAGGAAACUCAUGAGUACGUGGACUCUUUAUCAAGUAUUUUGCACGAUUCUACCGAGGCGAGCGGCCCGAUCCCAUAAGAGUGUGAUACAUAAUUUUGCCGAGGUGAACACCCCAAACCCAUAAGAAUAUGAUAUGUGAUACUGCCAAGGCGAAUGGCCCGAUCCCAUAAGAGUGUGUUACAAUUUCCUGUCGAGGCGAACGGGCCGACCCCAUAAGAGUGUGAAGCUUUUACGGGUCUAUAACCCCACUCACGAAUAUAUGUGUGAGUUACGAAAUUCAAGAGAAACUUUUCGAUAAAUACGCACAACGCGGGAGGAAUCCAAAAGAGAAGUACAAUUCUUACGGCUAAUCAAGUAGCUCAUUAAAUAUCUAAAAUAGCGAGCCUAGUCUCGAGUCAUAAUGUGAAUUAAAGUAAUUAAAUAGGCAAGAGUAACUGAAUUAGUACGAUUAAAGCAUGGCGUGAAUCUAAUUCUACCCAGAAAGAAUAAGGAACUCUAGCAUACGCACGGACACUCGUCACUUCAUGUGUGCAUUGCUCCCAUAACAUGUAUCAUGUAAUAAGUAUAACACCUAUGGGGUAAAUUCCCCCUCACAAGGUUAAACAUGAGACUUAUCUCGGUCCGAAGUUCCAUAACCGGCUCCAACGUCUCUCUAACACCCCCAAAGCGAUACUCAUCGAUCCAAAACUAGUCAAACAACGUCCAAACCGAUAAAAAUAUACUUCAAUACUCAUAAUUUAACAAUUCAUAACAAUUCCAAACUACGCUCGAAAAGUCAACAAAGUCAACCCCCGGACCCACGUGCCCAAAUUCAAAACUUUUUUGAAGAUAAAGAUUACCCAUAAUACCACCAACUCAAACAUAUAAUUUAUUCCUAAUUCCAUGUCCAAUUUCAUGGUCAAAAUGCGAAAAUAGCAUUUUUAAGUUUUCUUCUAAAAAUUCCAUAAUUUCUAUCAAAUUCCAUGUUAAAAUUCAUAUAUAACCCAUGUAUUUAACUCCAAAAAAGUAAGAAUAACUUUCCUUAUGAUAUAUGGUGAAAAUGAUCUUCAAGAAUCACCUCAAAUCGCCCCACAUGAACUCCAAGAACUUAAAAGUGAAGAAAUGAGCUCAAAAUACCGAAAUUAGAUAUUUAAUACACCUACCAGGCCUCCUUCUUAGUGAUGGUAGUUAUUAGCCAUGAGAUUACGGUUAACAAAAGUUCCAACAUCAUUUCCUUCAUCGCAAUCGCGGCCAAAAUCCCGCAAUCACGAUGUACAAAUUAUGUUUUCUUCUUCACAGACACCCUUCAGUAUAAUGGUCAUAACUUUUAUACAAAAUUCCAAAUGACAAACGGUUUUAGUUUUUAAAAACUAGAUUCAAAAGGUUACAACUUUGGUUUUUAGAUCAUUCCCAAAUUUCUUAUAUAUUACAAGAUAAAAAGCUCCCCCAGCCAGACUACUGACAGUAGAAAAUCCUUCUACGUGAUUGCGGCCUUCCCUCCGUGAUCACGAUUCACAAAGCCCUAGAAUGCUCUUUGUUCUUUGUGAUCGCCACCCAGACCACCGCGAUCGCGAAGAGCACCCCUCAAACCGCCAAACAAUGCGCUAGAGCUCAAAAAAUGGGUUGGAUCAUUACAGAUUUUUUCAUCAAAGUCAGGUUCAUAAGGAAACCUAACAGUGUAUUUCUUGCGAUUCUGGAAGGCUAUAGGUAAAUCGGCACAAAGUUCUUCCUGAAUUUUGGUCUCUAAAGUUCUUGUUUUGAAUUGGAGAGAAUAAUCUUGAAGUUGUUGUUAUAACCUAUGGCAUGCUACUUCUUCCUUGAGAUUGAUCUGCGCUUCCUUACUUUUUGUGGUAGAUAAGAUCUUUGUAAUAAAAGGUUUAUCCAAGGAAAGAAGAGUUUUACUUCCUAUACAUUCGAUUAGAAUCCCUUUCUUUAUUAAAUAAAAGGCAUGAGGUCCUCGAUCAAGGGAGUACCCAAUAUAACUAGAUUAGUAAGGUCUUUUACUAAUAUAAAGGAACUUGAGACUUACAAACAUGAAUUUUUUAGAGAGGUUCUAACUUAACAUUGGAGAGUUUGAAGCUGACUCCUAGUUUUCCGCCAUUAGCAACUCUAAGGCCUUUUUUGAUUUUUUUCAAAUAAUUUGGUUGGAAUGAGUCUGUCUUGUAUGCAGUUGAGAUCUGCACCUAUAUCAAAUAAGGAAACGAUAUCUAAGGUAAAGUAUUUACUAAUAAUUAGGGUAACUCUCAUAUGCUAUUUUCGUAUGGAAAUACUGGAGAGGUGGUUGAUAAAAACUUCUUGGUCAACUUUCUUGGUUUUAGUUGUUUGGAUUCUUCACAUUUGGUAUGGAGCUUUUGGAGAAUAAGAUAAUUUAGCUCUUGUCUAGCCUUAAUUUUUUGAAUUUCUUCCUUGAGGAGUGUUAUCUCAGAUUGAAGAUCCUGGACAGCUAUCUCUUUAGGUUUUUGAUAUGUUCUACAUUUUUACUACCUGAGAAUGUUUGAUGAAAAUAUUUGAGGAAGUCGUGGAAGGCUUAUCUAGUGUUUCUUUAAAUUGUUCAAGAUAAUACCUCUUUUGAUCUGAAUCUUGGAGAUUGCUUAUAACUUUGAGAAGAAGAUCUUGUUCUUUAGAGAGAACAUUGAUUUCAGGUUGACUAUUUUGUUCUUCUUGUUCUGAUUGGGAAUAACAUGAAUCUAUGUUAUCGUCUUUGAAUUGAUGUUCAGGUUCAUCGUCAGCAAUAGAAGCAUCACUAUCUUCUAGCACGAGUUGUUCAAUCUGAUUGAGGAUAGACUCAUCUAAAUCGAUAUUUCUAACAUUUUUGAAAAUUUUGCAGUAUUUGACAAUAUAUCAUGGUCUUUGGCACUUAAAACAUUUGCCUUGGUUGUAACAUGGGAAAGUUGAUUCCUUAUAUUUGUUAGGAAAUGCUUUGGGUUUAUCAAAGGAAGGUUUCCUAAACUUGGAUGCGAAAUGUCUGCGUUUAGGUGUUGAAUAUACAGGUUAUGAGAUAUGUCUGGUUGUUCGUUGUUUGAGAGACUUAUUGACAUAGGCGGUAGUCCAAAUUAUUCGUAGAAGCUACCUAAAUCUCUAUGAGUUUGUACUCUAUCUUUGGCUAACUGUCUUAAGAACUUAUCUUGGCGACAGAUUUUGAGAGUAACCUGUUGGAUAAGUCUAGUAAGUUGGCCAUAUGAUAUUUGUUCAUAAGGAAUAAUACCACUAGUGUAUUAAUCUUGGAGUUCUUCUUUCACUAAAUCAUUGAGGGAUUUAGGUAUACUAUCUAGGAAUUUUUCUUUUCCAAUAUGAGAGGUUACCAUCUGGUCUUUCAUAGAUUCUGGUGAGAAAAUAAUCCUUAUACCACCUAAAAUCGGAAAGGGUUUUACAUUUGAGAUUGUUGAGUAUCUCAGAGGAUUUUUAUAAUAAGAUACCUGGACUUCCUAUGAAUGUCUUUAUAAUGGUGUAAAUAAGGGUAUUGGUAGAGUCAAGAAUGGGUUAGCCAUCUUUAAAGAUUGGUUCUCCUGUUGAAUCAACUCGGCCAGUUAGAAAGAUUUGUUGUUUAUCUUCUUCACUAAGAUAGGCAUACCACUAACCUUUGAGUUGACCUAUAAAUCUUGCUACUAAAACAUGGGUAGUAAGCUAGUUACAACAAUGAUAGGAAGUUUUAUACAUAGUGACUACAAUAGUCAUUUGUCAUAAUUUUGAUAAAAUAUUAUAUUCGAAACAACCAUCUAUGUUCCAUUCAUAGAUAUUAUUGGCAUUGUAAUUGUUCUGCAUGACAUUGGAUUUUUCUUCUAAAACUACAUCGAGAUGGAUAGCUCUAGAAUAAUAGAGUUUUUGGGGUUUAUGCUAGUUGAAAAAGUUUGCUCUAACAAGGGAAACUUCUAGAAAAGGAUUGUCAUGAAAUUGGUCGGUAUGGGAAUCCAUUUCUUUAUCAGCAUAAAUUACUCUAAGAACAUGUACUCCAGAGUCUUUUGAGGAGACAUCCCUGGUUCUUUUAGAGGGGGUUUCUGGAAUAAUCAAAGUUUUUUCGAUUUCUAGGAUCCUAUGAUGUAGAUGAGAGAGUUUAGAAGAAUCUAUAGAUUGGUACAUAUGGAGCUCCUUAGCAAAAAUUUUAGGAAUCUCAUAAGGUUUGAAUAGGGGGAUAGAAGAAGUAGAGGGUUCUACUAUUUUAGAACCACUAAAGUAGAUAAAAUUGGUAUUAAAAUCAAAUAGGCACCCAAAGUUUUUAAAUAUUUGUUUGAAUAAUUUUUUUUAGCAAAUAUACCACUAGGCAGGCUGCCUAGUGGCUAAUAUAUAAAUAAAAUUCCAAAAUGGGUCCAAAGCUUACAAGAUGUCCAAACCAAAAAAGAAGUUGCAUGAAGCUACUAGCUACUAAUAAGAUAGAAAAGCUAUAGUCUAAUGAACUAGCUAUUACAACAUUGUCCGGUGAAUGCUUCCUUCUCCUGUCAGUGUAUAUGAAUCCAAUUGCUAGUGGCAAAUACCAAGCAGCACCUAUCAAGCUCUCACCAGACGCCAGGGUGUGAGCACGUGAUUUUUGCCCAAAGCAAAUUAUUCCCAAAAAUUCAAACAAAAUAAUUUCUUUAUUAUUUUACAACUUUUUGUGAAUUUUGGUGUCAUUUUUCUGUUAAUUGUUGCAUUGUAUCUGUGCAUUUUAAUUCAUAUGAAAAAUACAAAAAUAUGCAUUUGCAUUUCUAUUUAGGAUUUAAUUUCUUAUUUUUAGUAUUAAUUAGGGGUUAAUUUGUUUUAGAACAAAAUAUGAAGAAAAUAACAAAAAUAGUUCAGGUUUGCAUUUUUAAAUUGUUUAAUUGUGAAUUCGUCCCGAAAUAGUUUUUAAAAUAAUUUUAGAAAUUAAUUAGUUUAAUUUUGAAAUAUAUUAGGACUUUUUUUUUGUUGCAAUUUUAUAAAAUCAGAAAAAUACAAAAUAUACAAGAUGAAAUACAAAAAUAGAUAAAAGAAACAAAUGAAAAGGAAAAAGAAAACAAAAAGAAAUAGAUAAAGGGCUACCCACGAUUUGGGCCAUGUCCAAUUGAUUUACCCAGGCCCAACAUCUUUUUUCUCUUUCUUUCCCCGACCCAGGCCCAAACCCCACCCGGUCCAAACGACCCAUCUCCAGAGACACCCAAACGACGUCGUUUCACAGCAAAUCAAUCCCAGCCCUUCAUUCUCCAUAAUCCAACGGUUCUGGUGCUUUCUUGUUAACUUGAUAAAUAUGUCCGAAAUAUUCCCAAACCCUAAAACAUAACUCAUCUUGCUCGUACCCCCCAUUACUUCGCCGGAAUCCCACCGCCGGCGAACACCACUUAUGUUAUCGACCACCAAAAUAACACCACGAGACCUCCUCUUCUCCCUCGUCAUGAAUCCACCACCCAUUUCAUUCAAAUCCAGCCCUAGCUCGUCGAAUCCUCGAUCAAAGAUUCUCCGGCCAAAACCCAAAGUAACCCAAUCACCACCAAAUUAACACCAUGUGACCGCCUGGGCCCCCUCUACCCAACCCGCAUAGCCAUGUCUCUCGAAUCUACCUGGAACAGCUCGAAUAUCAAAUCGAAGGUUUCCGACCAAAACCCUAAUGCAAAAUCUCCAUGAUUUCGGACCCUAACAACCCUAACCAGGCGUUUUCUUAUGAAAACACGUGGUUAAGGAUGUUACGGGUCAGAAAUUUCGGGGGAUUUGGAGAAACAACCACUGGCCGGAGCUCUUUGUUGUCAGUGAGUUCUUGUUUGUAUUUUCUUUUAUUUUCAAUUUCUUUUUCCUUUUCUGAUUUUCUGCAUGUGUGAAUUCCAUGGUCAAUGUAUAUUUUAAUUUGCGUUUUAAAUUUUUGUCAAUAUUGUUCUAGUCUUGUGUCCUGGUUUUUUUGUGAUUAAGUCUAGUUGUUUGUUUGAUUUUAAUAUGUUCAAAUUCCUGAUCUUAGUUUGAUUUUAGUUAAGACGUUGAUAAUUUGUUAAUUAGUUUUACUAAGUUUUGCGUGAAUUAAUUUCUGGUGUUCCUUUAGUUUAGGUUAAUUACUAAUUAGUUCAGUUUCAGUUUAAUUAAUCAUCAUGAUUUGUUGAAUUUGGUUAUAGUUGAUAGUUUAAUUUGGUCAUUAAUUCUGAGUUCAAUUGCUAGACUCAAUAAGAGUUUAAAUCGGGAUAGAUGGAGAGUUUAGGAAAAUGUUUGGUUAUAAAUGUACUUUUAGUUUAAGUUCAGGGGUAGUUUAGGCAUGGAAAAGGGCUAUUUUGUUAAAGAAUAGUAAUUUCAAAACCAAAAUAAGGGUAGUAUAGGUAUUCUAGAGGUAGAAGAACACCCUAGGGCCUUUUAGAAGGGGGCCUUGGUGUAAGUUUCAGUUUUUUAGAAGCAGUAACUUGAUUAACAAGUUAGGAAAUGAGGGUGUUAACUUGUGUAAUAAGUUAGAAAAUAGGGGACUAAUAGGCAAUUGAAAAUCUGAAGUUUCCCCUUAGUUUUGCCUAUAAAAGGCAGUCUUUAUUGCUUUGUUGAGGGAGGUUGGAACCCCAGAAAUUUCCCCCAAAACCCUCUCUGCAGAUCUGAGCCUAAAAUUUGAAUUUCAAAUCAAUGGAAGUUCAAAAAUCCUCUUCUAGAUUUUAGUUUUGAAAAAUCCAGUAGAAAAUAAAAAAAACAAUAGAAAAUUCGAAAAAAAAUAAUUGUUCCAUUGCUUUUCCCUGGGCUAUUUUGAACUCCAGCACUCAAUUCAAGCUCAAUUAGGAUCCAAAACUAUUUGAAGUACUUUGUUUCUAUUUGGUAUUUGAGGUCUGAAGGUAACUUGGGUCAGCUGGGCAUUAAGUCUGAUUAAAUCGAAUUGACUGUGGUGAUCUGUUAAGUGUGUGGAUAUGCUGGGUUCAUUUUCUGGUUAUUUGAUAUAGUUUUGGGUUAAUUUGUUGAUUCUGCUUGGUCUCCAAUCCAUUUUUGAACUGUUAAAUCCUUUCUGAGUUGUUGUACUCGUUUGUUGACUGCUGCCGGGUUAUCACUGGUUCCCUGGAACUGUUACUGUUGCUAACUUCUCUUUCUUCCUUUGGUAUUCUGAUUUCCAGGUACACGUUUUGAACUUGUUUCGAUGUCUCAUCCCCUGUUGACAACAUGAAAUAAAAUUGGAGCAAAUUCUCUGUUGUAGAUCUGUUAGCUUGUUAUGUUUUAGAUAGUUUGUCGUGAUUUGGUGGUUGUACACUGUUAUCAAAUUCGAAAUGCAUAACUGAACUGAAGCUGGUUAUGUAUUAAUGGGACUGUAAACUGUUAUGUCUUAGAUUCGUGUGAGUUUAUUUUUCGAGUUAAUUACUAGUUGUAGUUAGUCCCUUAUUAGCUGAUGCAUACACCUGUUAAGUACUAGUUGUAAUUAAUUUCAUAGGAUAAGUCCAUACUAGUUGUAAUUAAUUCCCUAUUAGCUGGUUCAUGUCCC